ACUUAAUUAGAGAAUUGACUAAAUCUAAUCAAUUAUUAUCUUAGAUUAGGUCAAGGAUUCUCUAGAUCAAUUACAAUAGUUGUAGUUGGUCAUGUCCAUGUCUUUAACAAGAACCAAAUGGACUUGAUUCUUGGCUAAGCGGUCUAGCAUGAACUGUUAGGUUGAUCUAAUCAAAACUAAUUAAACCAGUUGGUGUCUAAGGUAAACC
rnacentral:lncRNA from 1 species